GAUGAACGCUGGCGGCGUGCCUAAUACAUGCAAGUCGAGCGAACGGAUAAGGAGCUUGCUCCUUUGAAGUUAGCGGCGGACGGGUGAGUAACACGUGGGUAACCUACCUAUAAGACUGGAAUAACUUCGGGAAACCGGAGCUAAUGCCGGAUAACAUUUGGAACUGCAUGGUUCUAAAGUAAAAGAUGGUUUUGCUAUCACUUAUAGAUGGACCCGCGCCGUAUUAGCUAGUUGGUAAGGUAACGACUUACCAAGGCAACGAUACGUAGCCGAACGGGGAGGGUGAGCGGCCACACUGGACCUGAGACACGGUCCAGAAGACUACGGAAGGCAGCAGUAGGGAAUCUUCCGCAAUGGACGAAAGUCUGAAGGAGCAACGCCGCGUGAGUGAUGUAGGUUUUCGGAUCGUAAAACUCUGUUAUUAGGGAAGAACAAAUGUGUAAGUAACUGUGCACAUCUUGACGGUACCUAAUCAGAAAGCCACGGCUAACUACGUGCCAGCCGCCGCAGUAA
rnacentral:rRNA from 1 species